CAGUUCAAGUCCAUCAGACAGUGCCACCCUCAUGAGGUAAUGUUGUCAUAACUGUGAUGGGAGCCAAGAGUUUACAUAAAAGUUAAAAAGAGAAAGGAGACAUGAAACCAGACUUCUCUGUCAAGUUGUGUUUUCAGGCUGCAUUUGCAGGCAAGAGCACAGGAUGCAACACAGCCACCACCUAGCACAGUGAGGUCUGAGGUUCCAGUGAUGUCAAUGCUGAUUUUUAGAAUUCUGCUCUCUGUUUUGUGAAGCUAUACCAGCAGCGUUUUCCUUAAUCUGCUCUGGAUUUGGCAGAGGUGAUCCCUGAACUCAAUUUGAAGGUCAAUCCCAUGCAGUUUAAGCAGGAACUCUGAAAGCCCUGACAACAUGCUUAAAGCAAACGCUUCGUAGAUUGAAGUCCAAGUACUGGGAGGGGAGGAGACUGCAGAAAAGGGUGGAAGGUGGAUGCACGGAAACUUGACUUCCUGGGGAAAGAGUUGGCUUGUUCCAAGGAGGCUUGCCGCUGGAAGGUGAGGCUGGCCAGACUGAGGUUGCUUCGACGUUCACAGCUGCUGUUACGGUAAAAUCCAGUCCUGCCAGAAGAGUGGGAUGUGGGUCUGGACCGGCGAGUGAAGAGUGAAGAGUUAUCCUGGGAAAUGUGGGCACUAGCUCUGCGACGGGACAAGCAGGAGCUCAUGAGUAGCAGCAUCCGGUGUUCCAACUCCUGACUGCAGAUCAGAGCCUCAUCACCAUCAGUAGCCUUCCGACAAACAUGUAAUGAUUCUGCGUUUUAUAAAGUUAUGUUUGGAAACAUG